rnacentral:rRNA from 1 species
AUUGAACGCUGGCGGAAUGCUUUACACAUGCAAGUCGAGCGGCAGCGCGGGGCAACCUGGCGGCGAGCGGCGAACGGGUGAGUAAUACAUCGGAACGUGCCCAGACGUGGGGGAUAGCCCGGCGAAAGCCGGAUUAAUACCGCAUACGAUCUACGGAUGAAAGCGGGGGAUCGCAAGACCUCGCGCGUCUGGAGCGGCCGAUGGCAGAUUAGGUAGUUGGUGGGGUAAAGGCUUACCAAGCCUACGAUCUGUAGCUGGUCUGAGAGGACGACCAGCCACACUGGGACUGAGACACGGCCCAGACUCCUACGGGAGGCAGCAGUGGGGAAUUUUGGACAAUGGGCGCAAGCCUGAUCCAGCCAUUCCGCGUGCAGGAUGAAGGCCCUCGGGUUGUAAACUGCUUUUGUACGGAACGAAACGGUUCUCUCUAAUACAGGGGGCUAAUGACGGUACCGUAAGAAUAAAGCACCGGCUAACUACGUGCCAGCAGCCGCGGUAA